rnacentral:rRNA from 1 species
AGUCGAGCGAAGUCUUCGGACUUAGCGGCGGACGGGUGAGUAACGCGUGGGAACAUACCCUUUGGUACGGAAUAGCCUCGGGAAACUGGGAGUAAUACCGUAUGUGCCCUUCGGGGGAAAGAUUUAUCGCCAAAGGAUUGGCCCGCGUUGGAUUAGGUAGUUGGUGGGGUAAUGGCCUACCAAGCCGACAAUCCAUAGCUGGUUUGAGAGGAUGAUCAGCCACACUGGGACUGAGACACGGCCCAAACUCCUACGGGAGGCAGCGGUGGGGAAUCUUAAAAAAUGGGCGCAAGCCUGAUCUAUCCAUGCCGCGGGAUCGAUGAAGGCCUUAGGGUUGUAAAAAUCUUUCAGUUGGGAAAAAUAAUGACGGUCACCCAACAAAAAAAACCCCCGGGUUAAUUCCUGUGCCAGCACCCCGCGGUUAAUACGGAAGGGGGGCUAGGGGUUUUUUCGAAA